UACGUAGGGGCUAGCGUUGUCCGGAUUUAUUGGGCGUAAAGAGCGUGUAGGCGGCCAGGUAGGUCCGUUGUGAAAACUCGAGGCUCAACCUCGAGACGUCGGCGGAAACCCUCUGGCUAGAGUGCGGUAGGGGAGACUGGAAUUCCUGGUGUAGCGGUGAAAUGCGCAGAUAUCAGGAGGAACACCGGUGGCGAAGGCGGGUCUCUGGGCCGUAACUGACGCUGAGGAGCGAAAGCAUGGGGAGCGAACAGG
rnacentral:rRNA from 1 species